rnacentral:lncRNA from 1 species
CAAGCCAGCAACCCCAGCAAGCAAGCAAGAGCGCGUCAGAAACCACCAAGGAGCCGGUCAGUUCUGUUCCCAAGAAGCAAAAGGACCUCCACAACCCCGACUGCUGCUGCUGUCGUCCGUGACCAUGGACAAGAUCCUGGCCUUCUCCAUCCUGAGCUCAUCGCCGGCGGACAUCUCCGCGGCCGGGUUCUUCUCCACGCGGCUAUCGUGGCGGACCUCCGCCGCCGGGAAGCCUCAGACGCCUCAGGUGGACCCGGCACCGCAAAAUCAGAAGGCCGCCGAGCAGCAGCGGGGCUCGCCGCGGGUCCCGGCGGCGGAGCGCGAGCGAGAGGCGCGGCCGCGGUUCGCGCCGGAGUUCGACGGGCUCAACUGCUUCGAGUCCAUCGUCUCCUUCUGAAUUCCGGGGGGCUCCGCGUGACAUGGUUCCCCUCCCCGCUUGAAUUCGUUCGUUCCUCUCUUCUAAUUAAUUUUGGGAUGUUUGCUGACUAAAGCGACGAGUAAUCUGUACAGAGCUGCUGUAUACCGCGUCCUAUUGAAUGGAUCAUCAUACGUUCGUUUGAUUUUUUAUGUUAUAAAGAUUUGAUUGAUGCC